CUCGACAAGGGCAAACCGGUCGAAAGGUCGGGACGCAAAGCCAAGGGCCGGUGGGGCAACACCUGCUGGUGGCCUGGCUGCCGAAA
rnacentral:ncRNA from 1 species